rnacentral:rRNA from 1 species
AAAUUGAAGAGUUUGAUCAUGGCUCAGAUUGAACGCUGGCGGCAGGCCUAACACAUGCAAGUCGAACGGUAACAGGAAGCAGCUUGCUGCUUUGCUGACGAGUGGCGGACGGGUGAGUAAUGUCUGGGAAACUGCCUGGUGGAGGGGGAUAACUACUGGAAACGGUAGCUAAUACCGCAUAACGUCGCAAGACCAAAGAGGGGGACCUUCGGGCCUCUUGCCAUCGGAUGUGCCCAG